rnacentral:rRNA from 1 species
UAGAGGAAGUAAAAGUCGUAACAAGGUCUCCGUAGGUGAACCUGCGGAGGGAUCAUUACUGAGUGAGGGCCUUCGGGCUCGACCUCCAACCCUUUGUGAACACAACUUGUUGCUUCGGGGGCGACCCUGCCGUUUCGACGGCGAGCGCCCCCGGAGGCCUUCAAACACUGCAUCUUUGCGUCGGAGUUUAAGUAAAUUAAACAAAACUUUCAACAACGGAUCUCUUGGUUCUGGCAUCGAUGAAGAACGCAGCGAAAUGCGAUAAGUAAUGUGAAUUGCAGAAUUCAGUGAAUCAUCGAAUCUUUGAACGCACAUUGCGCCCCUUGGUAUUCCGAGGGGCAUGCCUGUUCGAGCGUCAUUUCACCACUCAAGCCUCGCUUGGUAUUGGGCGCCGCGGUGUUCCGCGCGCCUCAAAGUCUCCGGCUGAGCUGUCCGUCUCUAAGCGUUGUGAUUUCAUUAAUCGCUUCGGAGCGCGGGCGGUCGCGGCCGUUAAAUCUUUCACAAGGUUGACCUCGGAUCAGGUAGGGAUACCCGCUGAACUUAAGCAUA